AUUAUUUCUCUGGUCCUUUCGUACUAGGAGAAAUAGUAAAUAGAUAGAAACCUACAUGGAUUUCUCCAGUCUGAACUCAGAUCGCAUAGGACUUUAAUCGUUGAACAAACGAACCUUUAAUAGCUGCUGCACCAUUUGGAUGUCCUGAUCCAACAUCGAGGUCGUAAACCUCAUUAUCGAUAUGGACUCUUUAAUGAGAUUGCGUUGUUAUCCCUAGGGUAACUCGGUCCAUUGAUCAGAAAUUCUGGAUCAAAGAUGACUUUAAUUAAGAAAGACUGGUU